rnacentral:rRNA from 1 species
GGAGUUUGGUCCGUGUCUCAGUACCAAUGUGGGGGACCUUCCUCUCAGAACCCCUACUGAUCGUCGCCCCGGUGGGCCGUUACCCCGCCGGCAAGCUAAUCAGACGCAUCCCCAUCCCUCAGUGAUAAAUCUUUGCUCCUCGUUAGAUGCCCGCAAAGGAGAACAUAGGGCAUUAAUCCGACUUUCGCCGGGCUAUUCCCUACUGAGGGCCAGGUUGGAUACGCGUUACUCACCCGUGCGCCGGUCGCCGGCAAGCUUAGCAAGCUAAGCCCCCGCUGCCCCUCGACUUGCAUGUGUUAAGCCUGUAGCUAGCGUUCAUC